GAUGAAGAACGUAGUGAAAUGCGAUAAGUAAUGUGAAUUGCAGAAUUCAGUGAAUCAUCGAAUCUUUGAACGCACAUUGCGCCCCCUGGUAUUCCGGGGGGCAUGCCUGUCCGAGCGUCAUUACAACCCUCAAGCUCAGCUUGGUGUUGGGCCCCGCCGCCCCGGCGGGCCCUAAAGUCAGUGGCGGUGCCGUCCGGCUCCGAGCGUAGUAAUUCUUCUCGCUCUGGAGGUCCGGUCGUGUGCUCGCCAGCAACCCCCAAUUUUUUUCAGGUUGACCUCGGAUCAGGUAGGGAUACCCGCUGAACUUAAGCAUAUUAAUAAGCGGAGGA
rnacentral:misc_RNA from 1 species